UAUCACAGCCAUAUUACCCUGCAGCCCAAGACCGGUUACACAGGGCUGAGACUGGUCUGUACCUGGAUGGCAGACCACAUGGGAAACUAGGUUGCUGUUGGAA
rnacentral:rRNA from 1 species